CUGCAGACCACAAGUCAUCCUCACAGACCUCGAAACCGUCACAAGACACCAAGACACGCGGAAUGUUUGUCAAGCUGUUUCUCGUUUGUGUGGUGCUCUGUAGCGUCAUGGAUGGGGUUCCGGCCGAGGAAACCCCCGCCCCUUUUUCCUGUCCAUGUACAAGGGAAUACAAGCCUGUCUGCUCCAACGGACGGUCUUUCAACAACAAGUGUUUGGCAAGAUGCAAUGGUUUCACCAGCUUCACAGCCGGAACAUGUUAGAAGACAUGGAUCUAAGCUUGACGGUAAGAAGAGACACGUGGAUGGAUAGUGGACAAUGGACACCGUUUUUCUCCAUGACUUUACUGCUUUGAUAACAUUAUAAAGACAUUUUCCUAUCAGUUUGCUUUUCUUUCUUCAAGUGUGUUCCUAAUAAAUUUUGUACUGCAGUAA